AGUGAACGCUGGCGGUAGGCCUAACACAUGCAAGUCGAACGGCAGCACAGUAAGAGCUUGCUCUUACGGGUGGCGAGUGGCGGACGGGUGAGGAAUACAUCGGAAUCUACUUUUUCGUGGGGGAUAACGUAGGGAAACUUACGCUAAUACCGCAUACGACCUACGGGUGAAAGCAGGGGAUCUUCGGACCUUGCGCGAUUGAAUGAGCCGAUGUCGGAUUAGCUAGUUGGCGGGGUAAAGGCCCACCAAGGCGACGAUCCGUAGCUGGUCUGAGAGGAUGAUCGGCCACACUGGAACUGAGACACGGUCCAGACUCCUACGGGAGGCAGCAGUGGGGAAUAUGGGACAAAGGGCGCAAGCCUGAUCCAGCCAUACCGCGUGGGUGAAGAAGGCCUUCGGGUUGUAAAGCCCUUUUGUUGGGAAAGAAAAGCAGCAGGUUAAGACCCCGCUGUUCUGACGGUACCCAAAGAAUAAGCACCGGCUAACUUCGUG
rnacentral:rRNA from 1 species